rnacentral:rRNA from 1 species
UACGGCUCAGUAACACGUAGCUAACCUAACCUUAGGUCAAGGAUAAUCUCGGGAAACUGAGGAUAACACUUGAUAGAAAAUAUCUACUGGAAUGUGAUAUUUUUGAAACUCGUGCCUAAGGAUGGGGCUGUGGCUGAUUAGCUUGUUGUUGGUGUAAAAGACUAACAAGGCGAUGAUCAGUAAGGGUUUUUAGCGAAAGGGCCCUGAGAAGGAAUCUGAGACACUAUUCCUAGCUCUACGGGGUGCAGCAGUCGAGGAAAUUUUACAAUGCUCGAAAGAGUGAUAGAAUAAACCAAAGUGUUUCUCCUAGAGAAACUUUUACCUGUUGUAAAAAGACAGGAGAAUAAGGACUGGGCAAGACCGGUGCCAGCCGCCGCGGUAAUACCGGCGGUCCAAGUCGCAUCCACAUUUAUUGGGUCUAAAACAUUCGUAGCUUGUUCUGCAAGUCUCUUGUGAAAUCUGACAUCUCAAGUGUCAGGCGUGCAAGAGAUACUGCAUUGCUAGAGACCGGAAGACGUAAGGAGUACGAUCAAGGUAGCGGUAAAAUGUGUUAAUCUUGAUCGGACUAACAAUGGCGAAGGCACCUUACGAGUACGGAUCUGACAGUGAGGGAUGAAGGCUAGGGGCGCAAAAGGGAUUAGAUACCCCUGUAGUCCUAGCAGUAAACACUGCUCACUAAACAUUAGUGCCUCCUCGAGAGGCAUUAGUGCUGUAGGGAAGCCGAAGAGUGAGCUACCUGGGAAGUAUAGUCGCAAGGCCGAAACUUAAAGGAAUUGGCGGGGGAGCAC